AUGGACUGGACCUGGAGAAUUCUCUUCCUGGUGGCAGUGGCUGCAGGUGUGAACUCCCAGAUACAGCUGGUGCAGUCAGGGGCUGAGGUGGGAAAAUCUGGGACAUCAGUGAAGAUCUCCUGCAAAGCAUCCAGAUACACCUUCACUGGCUACUGGAUGAGCUGGGUGCGGCAGGCCCCUGGACAGGGGCUCGAGUGGAUGGGAAUGAUAUACCCUGGUGAUAGUAAUACAGGGUACGCAGAGAAGUUCCAGGGAAGAGUCACCAUCACUGCAGACAAGUCCAAGAACACAGCCUACAUGGAACUGAGCAGGUUGAGCACUGAGGGCACGGCUGCGUAUUACUGUAUGAGACACACAGUGUGA